AUGGGCAUCGCGAAAUGCCCAUAUGAUCCGACUGACAAUUCGACGGCCGUCUGGGUGGAACAUGGUAAUCCCGGCAAUUUGCCAGGACUGUAUUCAGGAACCAAUGCCGAGUUUACAAAGGCGGACACUGUAAUUUUUCGAACUGACCUGCAUAAUUUAACCACCGGCAAGAAGGAGUACAAUUUCAAAAGAACAUGAAAUACGACUCCAAGUGGCUCGACAAACCGAACUUUGUUGGCUC
rnacentral:lncRNA from 1 species